rnacentral:snRNA from 1 species
GGAUGUGAGGAUGAUCUGUGACAUGUCACCCCAUUGGUUGCCAGCAUUGAUCCAGCUCAUCUGGAUGCCCCAGCAGGUGUCUCCUUCUUCCCUUACUGCUCCAUGUUUGUCCCUCCUGAAGUUGACAGUUGAAGAGGAAAACCUUCACUGAUGGAGAAGGACCAUUUCCUUGGUCAAGAGUGUACAAGUAGCUACGCUAGAACCUCCAAACUCUCAAGAUUUUACAAAGUCCAAAGACAAGGCCUUUCCCAUCACCCUUGGAUGCCCAAAGGU